AAUAAGUUCAUUUUUCACUUUUUGUAUACGAUGCUUGGCUUUUUGUCUUAUUUAAGAAAAGUUUACGAUUAAUAUUUUUAUUGUUAUUAGAUGAUAGAACAUGAAUAGUACUUUACACAUGACUAUUUUUUUAAUAAUUUUUCAAAUAAGACGGAUAGUCAAACGUUGAACACAGAAACCAAAAAAUGAACUCUUU
rnacentral:pre_miRNA from 1 species